rnacentral:rRNA from 1 species
GACAGAGGGUGCAAACGUUGUUCGGAAUUACUGGGCGUAAAGCGCGUGUAGGCGGCUAAGUAAGUCGGGCGUGAAAUCCCACGGCUCAACCGUGGAAGUGCACUCGAAACUGCAUAGCUAGAGUCCUGGAGAGGAAGGUGGAAUGCUUGGUGUAGAGGUGAAAUUCGUAGAUAUCAAGCGGAACACCGGUGGCGAAGGCGGCCUUCUGGACAGUGACGUGACGCUGAGA